GACGAACGCUGGCGGCGUGCUUAACACAUGCAAGUCGAACGGAAAGGCCCUGCUUUUGUGGGGUGCUCGAGUGGCGAACGGGUGAGUAACACGUGAGUAACCUGCCCUUGACUUUGGGAUAACUUCAGGAAACUGGGGCUAAUACCGGAUAGGAGCUCCUGCUGCAUGGUGGGGGUUGGAAAGUUUCGGCGGUUGGGGAUGGACUCGCGGCUUAUCAGCUUGUUGGUGGGGUAGUGGCGUACCAAGGCUUUGACGGGUAGCCGGCCUGAGAGGGUGACCGGCCACCAUGGGACUGCGAUACGGCCCAGACUCCUACGGGAGGCAGCAGUGGGGAAUAUUGCACAAUGGGCGGAAGCCUGAUGCAGCAACGCCGCGUGCGGGAUGCCGGCCUUCGGGUUGUAAACCGCUUUCGCCUGUGACGAAGCGUGAGUGACGGUACUGGGUAAAGAAGCACCGGCUAACUACGUG
rnacentral:rRNA from 1 species